rnacentral:rRNA from 1 species
CAGUCGCCGCGGUAAUACGUAGGUGGCAAGCGUUGUCCGGAAUUAUUGGGCGUAAAGCGCGCGCAGGUGGUUUAAUAAGUCUGAUGUGAAAGCCCACGGCUCAACCGUGGAGGGUCAUUGGAAACUGUUAAACUUGAGUGCAGGAGAGGAGAGUGGAAUUCCACGUGUAGCGGUGAAAUGCGUAGAGAUGUGGAGGAACACCAGUGGCGAAGGCGACUCUCUGGUCUGUAACUGACGCUGAGGAGCGAAAGCGUGGGGAGCGAACAGGAUUAGAUACCCGUGUAGUCCCUGUCUCUUAUAC